GCAAGUCUGAAUUGAUCUUUUACAAGACUCUGACAGUGCUAAAUAAAUGUUGUUUAGAAGACUAUGGACAUCACAACCACAAAUGUAGACACCUGUAUUAUUAUGUCACUGGAAUUGUUUUCUUGCUUCUAGAUUCGUCUUCGCAAAAUAAUUUUCUAGUACGAUACGUAUCUUGUGUGCAUUUAUUUCUUUCAUAUUGCUUUCUUGUUUACAUAUUGCAACGGGUAUGAGCCGAGAAAGGAGCAGAGGAGGAAGACGUUACAUAUUGCAACGGGUAUGAGCCGAGAGAGGAGCAGAGGAGGAAGACGUGAACUGGUGCAGAUACUGACACCAUUACUACCGAACCAUCAACUUUGCCCUGCUAAUAAACACCCUUGGACUUUAACCGUAACAGUUUUGUGGUGGAGGAGCUGGGGUGUUCGCCCAAAACGACUGAGCCACUGCCGCUAGGUCCUCGCCGAAGCUGACGCCUCGCGCGACUGCCUCCAGCACUACCGGAGCUCACGAUGUCGAACAACGGUGACCUACAGUCAUCUUCAACUCCUCCAGCGCGAACACCCAAUGCCUGGAUGUGUCAGUUGGUGCCACGCCCUUUCUCAGGGAAACCCGGCGAGAACGUGGAAAGAUUGGCUGACACACUACAAACGCGUGAGCAAGUGCAACGGCUGGGAUGCUACGGCUCAGCUAGAGUAUGUUGCUCUCUUUCUGACAGACACUGUUCUUGUGUGGUUCGAGAACCACGAAGAGUCGCUAACAACUUGGGAUCACUUCACUAUCCAACUCACAGAGUGCUUUGGGGAUUCCACUGCGAAAAGAAAGCGAGCCGAGCAGACAUUACUUUAGCGUGCUCAAGUGCCAGGUGAGACUUGUACCACGUACAUUGAGACGAUCCUGAAGCUGUGUAAGAUGGCAAAUCCUCGUAUGUUCGGAGAGGACAAAGUCAGGCAUCUUCUGAAAGGCAUUGCCGAAGACGUGUAUACCUACUUGAUUGGCAAGGAGAGCCUCAAUUCGGUAGCUGACGUGAUUCAUCAUUGCCACACGUUUGAGACCCUGAAGCUACACGGUAUCACGCCAAAGUUCGGCAGAUUGGCGAAUGUUGCGGCGGUUGCAAGCUUUGAGGACAGCUGCAGUGACCAUUGGGACCUUGCUACCACUAUUAGCCAAAUCAUCCGUGAGGAACUCGAGCGACACAGCAAAUCAAUGAACGCUGUGAAAGCCGAGCAGCUCGGUUAGGUUUUCAAUCAUUCUCACGAAGCUGCACCGGUGGUUUCUUCGCUGUCAGCCAUGCCAGGCGUUGCAGACAGUUGAACCGAUAUCCUACAACAGCACCACGAUACGUUUCCUGAUAACGUGACGCAUGACCAACGCGCUUAUCGAGGUACGGCGACAAAUUGGCACUUAGAAAAUUGUAUCUACUACUCGCAGCAUCCGAGGGCGGCUUAUCCCGAAGUCUACAACGUCGGUCGCCCUUCACCUGUUUGCUACAGCUGCAGUCCGACAGGACACAUCUCUUGUUUUUGUCGCCGCGAGACGAGGUAUGGCCCACCACCGACUUGGCCUAACUUUGAACGCGUCAACGAUGGUCAUUGGCCGGCAGAACAUCGCGCAACAAACGCUAUAGGCUCGCUACCCAGGAAUUCCUUCCGCCAUUUUAACAGGAGGAGUGACUUGCCAGCAUCAAACCGCAGCCUGACGUCACCAACCAGUCGCUCACGCCGUUCACCAUUCCCACGGCGACCUUCUACACCACCGCGUCCAUAGGGAAACUAGCCGGCGCGGCCGAUGGAGGUAAGGUCGCCGGCGGGUCUCCAUCUCUGUAAACUGCUCCUCUUCCUAAUAUGAUGUCCCAAAACAAAGUGUGUGUGUUAAUUGAUAGUGUGCCUGCAACUGCGUUAGUGGAUACUGGUGCUACGGUUUCCGUCAUGAGUGCCACAUUCAAGGAAAGACUUGGUCGAAAGGUUAUGUUCCCAUGGAAUGGUGGUGUGACGUUUCGUGGUGUCAGCGGAGAGUGCCUCGUUCCUCUAGGUAUUUGUGUUGCAAGUGUUUUGUUUAGUGCUGAAUAUCUUGUCACGGAAAUUUUGGUAUUACUGCGGUGCACUCAUGAUGUGAUUCUUGGGAUUGACUUUCUUCGGGAUUGUGGUGCUUCCGUUAAUUGUGGCACAGGCAAAAUUACGGUGAAUAACAUGCUUUUGUCUUCGCUUGCUGAGACAUCUUUACCGCAGAAAAACUGUUUCGUCGUGUCGAAUGAUUCUCUUUCAGCGCCGUGGUCUUUAUCAUGUGUUCCGGUUAAUCUUGCUGUUGCCAACCUUUCAUCGUUUGACACGCAAAUUCAACCACUUGCGACGGGUUGCGUGAAGAAAAAUGUACUUGUGCCUCGUUCUCUCGUGACAGUUGUGAAUGGCGCCUCAAGCUUGUGGGCUUUCAAUUGUUCUUCGGUGCCUGCUGUUCUUCCACGUGAUAUGAAGCUUGCCGAGUUCGACGAAAUCACGUACGGGGCUGUCACCCUUUUAAGCAAAGAGCAGCAGUCUGAAACAAGCGAACCCCAGAUAAGCAGUUCUGAAUAAGAGAUCUUAAGAAUGAUCAGCAAGUCGCUACCCUCGCAUGAACGUCACGCUCUUGCACGUGUCCUUGUGACACAUCUUUCUGUGUUCGAUACCACACAAGGUGACACGGAGACAUCACUACCACGUUCUUGUGCUCAUCACAGAAUUGACACCGGAUCUGCGCACUCCGUUCAUCAAAAACCUUACCGCGUGUCGUCGACAGAGAGGGCAGUGAUAGCUGAACAGGUCACCGAUAUGUUGCGAAAAGGUGUUGUCCAAGAGUCAUCUAAUCCGUGGGCAGCGCCUGUGAUCUUAGUAAAAAAGAAGGGUGGAUCAUGGCGCUUUUGCGUAGACUAUAGAAAACUAAAUGCGGUCACCAAAAAAGACGUGUAUCCACUUCCUAGAAUUUAUGACGUCGUUCGUUGCCUGCAUUCCGCUGCCUACUUUUCGUCACUGGAUUAGCGAUCAGGGUAUUAGCAAAUACCCAUGCACUCAAACGACAAAGAGAAAACGGCCUUUGUGACACCUGACGGCCUUUACGAAUUUAAUGUUAUGCCGUUCGGUCUUUGUAAUGCACCGGCAACAUUCGAACGAUAUAUGGACACAAUACUUUGAGGACUUAAAUGGGAAAUUUGUUUGUGCUACCUAGAUCAUGUGGUGAUUUUUGGCAGCAUACUGAACGAGCAUAACAGACGUCUCAGUCUUGUUUUGGAUUGCAUACAAAAGGCCGGCUUGAUCCUAAACUCUAAGAAAUGUUGUUUUGGUGAAACCGAGACAUUAGUACUUGAACAUCUCAUUGACAAAAAUGGAAUAACGCCAGACCCACGAAAAAUCAAGGCCGUCGGCUCUUUCGAACCACCGAUAUCGGUGCGGGAAUUGAGGAGCUUCUUGGGCCUAUGCUCAUAUUUUCGUCGUUUCGUUCGGAGGUUCGCUGACAUGAUGCAUCUCCUAACAUGUCUUCUUCAAAAGGACGUCCCUUUCAACUGGAUUUCAGCUUGCGACGAUGCGUUCCGCCAGCUAAAGUUUCUACUAACGUCGGGGCCCAUACUGCGUCACUUUGAUGCGUCCUUGCCUACGGAAGUACACGCUGAUGUUAGUGGCAUCGGCAUAGGUGCUGUACUUGUGCAGCGUCAUCAAGGAGCUGAGCACGUAGUGACUUAUGCCAGUUGCUCUUUCAACAAAGCUGAAUUCAACUAUACCGUAACAGAACAAGAAUGCUUGGCAGCUGUUUUUGCGGUACACAAAUUUCGACCUUAUAUUUAUGGACGUCCGUUCAUUAUCGUUACCGACCAUCACGCUUUAUGCUGGCUGGUGAAUUUUCGUGACCCGAAUGGUCGACUGGCACGUUGGGCUCUUCGACUUCAGGAGUCGUCAUCUCGUUCAAGUCUGGGCGCCGCCACGCACAUGCUGACUGUCUCUCCCGCCUUCACCUGAAGACGACUGAGUGUCAAGAAGACAGUUUUGACGACUGUUUCACCUCCAUUUCUUCCACAUUCCCAGAUUUAAGUACUUUCAAGAAAGAACAAGAGGCUGAUAUUAGCUUGGAGCCAUUACUUGCCGUGGCAUAGCGUCCUCAAGCCAACGGCUGCUUUUGUGUCCGUGACGGCCUUUUAUACAAGACAAAUUAUUCGGCUAAAGGCGUACGCUUCCCGUGUACUCAGAUUUGGGUGCACGUUAAAGAACCCCAGGUGGUCAAAAAUUUCCGGAGCCCUCCACUACGGCGUCUCUCAUAAUCAAAUGGUGGUUUUGGGACGUUAAACCCCACAAAUCAAUCAAAUCAAAGGCGUACGCUUCCUUCUAGUCGUACCACAGAGCCUACAAUUUGACAUACUGAAGGCCAUGCACGACGAUGCGACAGCUGGUCACUUGGGGUUCAUCAGAACUUUGAAUAGGACACAAGAGCAUUUUUACUGGCUCAGAAUGCGGGACACAGUCAAGCACUAUGUCGCAAGUUGCAAACAAUGUCAACGCUACAAGUGUCCUACGACUCCUUCACCAGGUCUUCCCCAUCCGCUGCCACCUCCUCAUCUAUCAUUUGAUCAAGUUGGUAUCGACCUUUUGGGCCGAUUUCCACGCUCGGCUAACAACAAUCGAUGGGUGAUAGUGUGCGUCGACCAUUUGACUCGUUACGCAGAAACUGCAGCGAUACCAUUCUCGACAGCGGCGUGCGUGGCCAUGUUUUUGCUUAGAUUCGUCAUUCUUUGACACGGCCCUCCCAGCGUGAUCAUUAGUGAUUGUGGUCGUCAGUUCGUUGCGGAUGCCAUCGAAGAACUGGUUUGUCUGUGAAAUUCACAGUUCCGCCAUUCCUCCCCGUAUCACCCUCAGACGAAUGGGCUGGUAGAACGUACGAAAAGAACUCUGACUGACAUGUUGGCCAUGUACGUAUCGUCUGACCACAAGGACUGGGACGACGUUCUCCCCUUCAUUACUUAUGCGUAUAACACGGCCAAACAUGAGACAACCAAUUACAGUCCUUUUUACCUCCUUUACGCACGUUCACCGUUCAGCUGCAUUGAUACUAUUCUACCACUUGACUUCCGUAGCGACUACUCUGUCUCCAAGACACUCUGCCUAGCCGAAGAAGCCCAGCGUAUUGCUCGUCUUCGUACUGUGGCUUCGCAACACCGAUCAAAGGAAAGCUAUGACAGCCGCCAUCAGUCUGUAGCAUACUGCAAAGGAGACUUUGUGUGGUUGUGGACGCCACAACGUAAACAGGGCCUAUGCGAAAAGUUUUUACCUCAGUACAGUGGCCCAUUCGUCAUUGUUGAUCGCUGCAGCGAUUCGAUAUACGUGGUAGCACGGCUGACAUCAGCUGGCCGUCGGUCAAACCGACCCAGCUGUCGCCCACCUUAAACGGUUUCACCCUCAACAUUCAGAAUGAUUCAUACUCACCCAGCGGGCUUCGUCUGGGAGCCGGGAAAUGCAACGGAUAUGAGCCGAGAGAGGAGAAGAGGAGGAAACCGUGAACUGGUGACAGAUACUGACGCCAUUACUACCGAACCAUCAACUUCGCCCUGCUAAUAAACACCCUUCGACUUUAACCGUAACAGUAUAGUUUUGGCCAAAGAACGCAUGAAGGCACUUGUUUACCAAACAUUUUGCUUAUUUCCUAAUUGAACAAAAGUAAUGUUCUCUUCAGACUAGUGCUACGCUUUUCUGUUGAGGAGUAAACCUGAUGCAGAGCCAAAUCAAUUUGAAGUUAUUGUAAUCAGAAGCACAUUAUGCCAUGUUUACGUAAACACUUUUUCUUUGCUCCAGGUUUUUGGUAACACUUGCACCACUUCUCGUGUGGCCUUGUUUGUUACAGCACUCUUGUAUUGUCUUGCAUUGGACUUGUCAUUCUUUAUUUUGCCUUUGAAGACGAAGUGGAGCUUUAUAAUGUGAUUCCUGUGAUCGAUAUCAAUGUUUUUACUCAUGUUUUGAUGCACAUCUGCUGGGCAGUCUGUAUUACCUGCAAAUAAAUCUUUGUCUUGAAAGGUAUUAGAGGGCCCCUUUGGAAAUUGGCUCUGCCCUUGCAAGAUAUGAAUAUUUUUGUGGCAUUUGUGUUUUUAAUGUUUGUAUUUUCGAGGUGUUUGAUUAUGUUACAUUGGUCUACUUCUCAAUAUGAGUGCAUGUUUGUUGUGAUUAGUUGCCUAAACACAGUGUUGCAAAAUAAUUUUGUAAGUGUUAUCACUGCCCCAAAUAAAACAGUGAGUUAGAUGUCAUG